rnacentral:rRNA from 1 species
CACCGCGGUUAUACGAGAGGCCCUAGUUGACAGAUACGGCGUAAAGGGUGGUUAAGGAGAACAGAAUUUUAAAGCCAAAGGGCCUCUUGGCCGUCAUACGCUUCUGAGUGUCCGAAGUCCAGAAACGAAAGUAGCUUUAAUAUAACCCGCCUGACCCCACGAGAGCUGAGAAA